UUAAGCGAACAAGCGUACACGGUGGAUGCCCUGGCAGUCAGAGGCGAUGAAGGACGUGCUAAUCUGCGAAAAGCGCCGGUAAGGUGAUAUGAACCGUUAUAGCCGGCGAUGUCCGAAUGGGGAAACCCAGUGUGAUUCGUCACACUAUCUCAGCAUGAAUACAUAGUGCUGUGAGGCGAACCGGGGGAACUGAAACAUCUAAGUACCCCGAGGAAAAGAAAUCAACCGAGAUUCCCCCAGUAGCGGCGAGCGAACGGGGAACAGCCCAGAGCCUGAAUCAGUUUGUGUGUCAGUGGAACGGUCUGGAAAGGCCGGCGAUACAGGGUGACAGCCCCGUACACGAAGGCACACAGGCUGUGAGCUCGAUGAGUAGGGCGGGACACGUGAUAUCCUGUCUGAAGAUGGGGGGACCAUCCUCCAAGGCUAAAUACUCCUGACUGACCGAUAGUGAACCAGUACCGUGAGGGAAAGGCGAAAAGAACCCCGGCGAGGGGAGUGAAACAGAACCUGAAACCGUGUACGUACAAGCAGUGGGAGCCUUCGUAAGAGGGUGACUGCGUACCUUUUGUAUAAUGGGUCAGCGACUUAUAUUCUGUAGCAAGGUUAACCGCAUAGGGGAGCCGAAGGGAAACCGAGUCUUAAUUGGGCGUUAAGUUGCAGGGUAUAGACCCGAAACCCGGUGAUCUAGCCAUGGGCAGGUUGAAGGUUGGGUAACACUAACUGGAGGACCGAACCGACUAAUGUUGAAAAAUUAGCGGAUGACCUGUGGCUGGGGGUGAAAGGCCAAUCAAACCGGGAGAUAGCUGGUUCUCCCCGAAAGCUAUUUAGGUAGCGCCUCGUGAAUUCAUCUUCGGGGGUAGAGCACUGUUUCGGCUAGGGGGCCAUCCCGGCUUACCAACCCGAUGCAAACUACGAAUACCGAAGAAUGUUAUCACGGGAGACACACGGCGGGUGCUAACGUCCGUCGUGAAGAGGGAAACAACCCAGACCGCCAGCUAAGGUCCCAAAGUCAUGGUUAAGUGGGAAACGAUGUGGGAAGGCACAGACAGCCAGGAUGUUGGCUUAGAAGCAGCCAUCAUUUAAAGAAAGCGUAAUAGCUCACUGGUCGAGUCGGCCUGCGCGGAAGAUGUAACGGGGCUAAACCAUGCACCGAAGCUGCGGCAGCGACACUAUGUGUUGUUGGGUAGGGGAGCGUUCUGUAAGCCUGUGAAGGUGUGCUGUGAGGCAUGCUGGAGGUAUCAGAAGUGCGAAUGCUGACAUAAGUAACGAUAAAGCGGGUGAAAAGCCCGCUCGCCGGAAGACCAAGGGUUCCUGUCCAACGUUAAUCGGGGCAGGGUGAGUCGACCCCUAAGGCGAGGCCGAAAGGCGUAGUCGAUGGGAAACAGGUUAAUAUUCCUGUACUUGGUGUUACUGCGAAGGGGGGACGGAGAAGGCUAUGUUGGCCGGGCGACGGUUGUCCCGGUUUAAGCGUGUAGGUGUGUGUUCCAGGUAAAUCCGGUUCACUUUAACACUGAGGCGUGAUGACGAGGCACUACGGUGCUGAAGUAACAAAUGCCCUGCUUCCAGGAAAAGCCUCUAAGCAUCAGGUAACACGAAAUCGUACCCCAAACCGACACAGGUGGUCAGGUAGAGAAUACCAAGGCGCUUGAGAGAACUCGGGUGAAGGAACUAGGCAAAAUGGUGCCGUAACUUCGGGAGAAGGCACGCUGACAUGUAGGUGAAGCCCCUGCGGGUGGAGCUGAAGUCAGUCGAAGAUACCAGCUGGCUGCAACUGUUUAUUAAAAACACAGCACUGUGCAAACACGAAAGUGGACGUAUACGGUGUGACGCCUGCCCGGUGCCGGAAGGUUAAUUGAUGGGGUUAUCGCAAGAGAAGCUCCUGAUCGAAGCCCCGGUAAACGGCGGCCGUAACUAUAACGGUCCUAAGGUAGCGAAAUUCCUUGUCGGGUAAGUUCCGACCUGCACGAAUGGCGUAAUGAUGGCCAGGCUGUCUCCACCCGAGACUCAGUGAAAUUGAACUCGCUGUGAAGAUGCAGUGUACCCGCGGCAAGACGGAAAGACCCCGUGAACCUUUACUACAGCUUGACACUGAACAUUGAGCCUUGAUGUGUAGGAUAGGUGGGAGGCUUUGAAGCGUGGACGCCAGUCUGCGUGGAGCCAACCUUGAAAUACCACCCUUUAAUGUUUGAUGUUCUAACCUGGCGCCAUAAUCUGGCGUGGGGACAGUGUCUGGUGGGUAGUUUGACUGGGGCGGUCUCCUCCCAAAGUGUAACGGAGGAGCACGAAGGUCAGCUAAUCCUGGUCGGACAUCAGGAGGUUAGUGCAAUGGCAUAAGCUGGCUUGACUGCGAGAGUGACGGCUCGAGCAGGUGCGAAAGCAGGUCAUAGUGAUCCGGUGGUUCUGUAUGGAAGGGCCAUCGCUCAACGGAUAAAAGGUACUCCGGGGAUAACAGGCUGAUACCGCCCAAGAGUUCAUAUCGACGGCGGUGUUUGGCACCUCGAUGUCGGCUCAUCACAUCCUGGGGCUGAAGUAGGUCCCAAGGGUAUGGCUGUUCGCCAUUUAAAGUGGUACGCGAGCUGGGUUUAGAACGUCGUGAGACAGUUCGGUCCCUAUCUGCCGUGGGCGCUGGAGAAUUGAGGGGGGCUGCUCCCAGUACGAGAGGACCGGAGUGGACGCAUCACUGGUGUUCGGGUUGUCAUGCCAAUGGCACUGCCCGGUAGCUAAAUGCGGAAGAGAUAAGUGCUGAAAGCAUCUAAGCACGAAACUUGCCCCGAGAUGAGUUCUCCCUGAGACUAUAAGUCUCCUGAAGGAACGUUGAAGACGACGACGUUGAUAGGCCGGGUGUGUAAGCGCAGCGAUGCGUUGAGCUAACCGGUACUAAUGAACCGUGAGGCUUAACCUU
rnacentral:rRNA from 1 species